rnacentral:lncRNA from 1 species
AGAAUGCUAGCAUGCCAGUGUCCCAUCGUUAACGGGUGGAGGAGAAGAGCAGGCGGAGGAGGAGAACGAUUUCUAUGGGAUUCUCAAAGUAAAUGGGCAAUUUUCAUGCACAUGGAGAAUCUACUUCUGCAGACUGAGUUCAGGCCAGACCUGCUCUGUCAAAGCCCGACAGAGAGACCCGAGAUGGCCACAGAAAAUGGCUGAAACAUUUGGGAUUCUGGAAGGGACAGGCAGAGCGAAUGAGAGCUGUGGAAAUGAUAACCCCUCCAUGGGUCCAGACUUCACUGUCUAAAAGGUCACUCUAGACCCCCAGCUCAGGGUGAUGCCUGCUGCCUUUGAUCAGGAGCCCUCCUGUCAUUGACUGUGACUCAGAUCUGCCCUCUCCACUCCAUCCUCAACCCCAAGAGUCUUCACACCAAUCUGCACCCCAGCUCCAAGCACAAGGCAUUACAAGAAGGUCCAGUGGUUCCUACUUUAGACUACACAACAAAAGAAAUGAAAACCCAGCCC